rnacentral:rRNA from 1 species
GUGCCAGCCGCCGCGGUAAUACGUAGGUGGCAAGCGUUAUCCGGAAUUAUUGGGCGUAAAGCGCGCGUAGGCGGUUUUUUAAGUCUGAUGUGAAAGCCCACGGCUCAACCGUGGAGGGUCAUUGGAAACUGGAAAACUUGAGUGCAGAAGAGGAAAGUGGAAUUCCAUGUGUAGCGGUGAAAUGCGCAGAGAUAUGGAGGAACACCAGUGGCGAAGGCGACUUUCUGGUCUGUAACUGACGCUGAUGUGCGAAAGCGUGGGGAUCAAACAGGAUUAGAUAC